GGGACAUCUCCCCGUUCAUAAUUAAUAAGUGUCUGCCGCCGGCCAGCCCCUGUCCCAGUAGGGCAGGAGUGAGCUGGGUGUGCUACACAGCCACCUCUUUCGCCUUAAGAACAGAAGAAACACGUCGUUGAGGCAGCAAAAUGUCCCAUGUGAACUUGGAAAGAAAAUACAAGAUGCUUGGACGUAAGGGAAGACUGAAGAAUAUCCUCAAAGUACAUGGUGACCAGAGGGAGAAACAAACCUAAUGUCUACCAGGAACUCUUGGAAGCUCCCAGGCUGCUGAGGUGAUGGAUGACAUAAAUAUAUAUUUCUGCUUUUUUCCCCCCACUCUCCAUUGCUUACACCCAAGUCAGCUCUAGCCUGCUACUAGAAGAAUAUUGGAGACUCUU